rnacentral:rRNA from 1 species
CUACGGGCUGCUGCAGUGAGGAAUUUUGCGCAAUGGGGGAAACCCUGACGCAGCAACGCCGCGUGAGCGAAGAAGGCCUUCGGGUCGUAAAGCUCUGUCAAGUGGGAAAAAAAUUCUUUGAUGAACAGUCAAAGGACUUGAUGGUACCACUGGAGGAAGCACCGGCUAACUCCGUGCCAGCAGCCGCGGUAAUACGGAGGGUGCAAGCGUUGUUCGGAAUUACUGGGCGUAAAGAGCGUGUAGGCGGUUUGACAAGUCAGGUGUGAAAGCCCCGGGCUCAACCCGGGAAGUGCAUUUGAAACUGUUUCACUAGAGUAUGGGAGAGGAGAUUGGAAUUCCUGGUGUAGAGGUGAAAUUCGUAGAUAUCAGGAGGGACACCCGUGGCGAAGGCGAUUCUCUGGACCAAUACUGACGCUGAGACGCGAAAGCGUGGGGAGCAAACAGGAUUAGAUACCCUGGUAGUC